CGUGAACUCCUGGCUUGGGACAGCUGCAGAGCACUUCGGUUUCAAAUAAUGCUGCCCCAAUCCAGUGAACCUGAAUCUUUUUUGGGCACUUUUGGAUCCCUCUGAUCCUUUACCUGCAAGCUGUGGGCUCAGAAACACUUGCCCCUUCUGGAUGGGUUUUUACACAUACAAAUUAAUCUUCUUAGAGAAGCCAUCAGGUCCUGCCCUGGAUGGACAUCUAUGGUCUCAGACAGUGAUUCCCUAGGAGGAAGGGGAGCCUUUGCCUCACCUUCACAGCUCAGGACAGGAAAAAUCAUUACACCGAUCCCAUCUUUGCCAAAAGCUGUGGUGUUUGAGCAGCCAAAGCCAAGAGGCUUCAGCACCGGGGGUCUUCGCUGGAGGGCUCCUGGUCCUGCCCGUGCUGUUAAGAGGCUUCAGCACCAGGGGUCUGCGCUGGAGGGCUCCUGGUCCUGCCCGUGCUGUGGGGUAAGUCAGAAGGAUGCUGGGUUCCUGUUUUCCUCCCUGCUGGGAGUAGCUGCCUAGGGAAUCUGGGAUCUGGGUGAAAUGCCAGCUCUCCUGGUGUUCAGGGAUGCAAGGUCUGAGUGACUAUGUUUACCUGGGGCUUUCCAGCAAGAGGAAAUGGGGUGCCAGAGCUGUGUCCCAUCAGGCUGCAUUCCCCUCUGAGGACAGAGAGUCUGGGCUGAGGUGAGAUUGCCACGAGCACUCGGAUGAGCAUUCCAGGGAACAGGGAGCUCGUAAUUGCAGGUGCUGCUGGAACCAUUGCCUUAGGUCUGCUCCGUCUCUGUCUCUGACCAGUGGGAUUUGUGCUGGAGAGAGAGGUGCUGUCGGGAACAAAAGGUGGAGUAAAUCCUCUCUGGGGAUGUGCAGCAAAGGACUGAAUAGCAUGGAAGGAGACCAUUUGUAAACUCUAUCUCUAUUUCUCCCAAAAUUAAGAUGGAGCAGUGAUGGGGGUGGUUGGGUUUGGUCUGGGCCUGUUAUUUUUUGUGCAAUUUUUAAUUGUUGUACAAUUUACUGUCCAGUAUCUUUCUAACAAAAGCUGUCAGAAAUUUAGGUUAAGGAUUAGAACUUGGGUCCAUUCACUGCAAAAAUUUGCCAAGGCUGGAGGACUGGGGUGAUGACUGCCCCCAGAAAAGGUUACUGAUUAAUAAUACUGUGUCAGAUUUCCCUCAGUGACUCUCAGCCCUGAAUGGCUGUGAGUUCACGUUCUUCUCACUGGACAACUGGAAAUGAUUUCAGUAUCGUUAGAAAUUUUAGAAAAAUCCAGCUAAAAAUGUCACCCCUGCCCCCCUUAAGUUAACCCAGUUUUGCUCAGUUAGGAGCUGCACCGAAGUGAGGCAGGGGAAAUGGCAUCAGGGAACAGCUGUAAAUUCAAAGGCAGAAAGAGAUGUACCAGCAAAGGGAAGGAAAGGGGAAAGGUUUCACAAAGCAUUUCUGUGGUCUAAUUAAUAAUAAUUUCUGAUUCCCCAGUGAGAACACCAACUCACAGUUAUUCAGGCCUGACAGUCUCCUGCAUGGAGUGAGAGCUCAGCACACAUCCACAGAGCCAAGGCCAGCAUCUGAAAGAAGAAAGACGCAGAAGAAAAAGGUGACUUCUUUUACUUUCAAGUUCUUUCAGGUUUUUAAAGCCCAAGCAACAUUUGCUCUCAAUUUUGGUUCGGUGAAUCGCGGGCAGUGGGCACAGGUCAAGCCAUUCAUUUAGCUGAAAACUCAGGGUAAUUUAGAGGGAACACAAGAAUUGUUUCCGUAGGAAAAUGAGAGGGGAUGUCAAGGGGAACGAGGUGGCAUUUUUGAGGGGAUUGCUGAGGUAAUUGAAGGCAGCCUGGCAGACAAUUUCCACAGGAAAUCUGAGGCCCCUGAGGAGUGCAAAAUAUCUCCUUUAAAGCGAUAUUAGGAAUCUCGGAGGGUGAGGGGUUUUUCACAGGGAAAAGGUACAAUGUUCUCGUCCACGGCCCUGGGGCUGGCACUGAGUAUCCGCCUGCUAAAAUGCCGAACGGAUCAGGAUUUCUCCCAGCCGCAAACUUCAACCAGUUAGAACCCUGGCUGCCUUUGGUUUGACAAAUACCUUCUCCAAACUGGUCUCAGGUAACUGGGGUUUGAGGUUUUUUUCACAGGGAGAAGGGCCACCAUUCUUUUCCAUGGGCCUCUGCCUGAGACUGGAUUUCUGCAUGCUAAAAUUCGGAACGGAUCAGGAUUUCUCCAAGACAGAAGCUGACACCACUUAGAAACCUGGCUGUUCGUUAAGUUCCCCAUGCCUCCUCCAAACUGAUAUUAAGAAACUGGAGUAUGAGGUUUUUUUCAGAAGGAAAAGGGCCACACUUUGUAUUUAGGGGUCUGUGGCCUGGAGAUGGUUUCUGCCUGCUGUAAUUCAGAAUGGAUCAGGAUAUCUCCCAGAUCCAAGCUGCCACCACUUGUAUCCUUGGCUGCAUUUGGAAUGACAAAGACUUCCUCCAAACCGAUAUCAAGAAUCUGGCAAGGUGAGUUUUGUUGUAGAGGGAAAAGGCCAAUGUUCCUGUCCAGGGCCCUGUGCCUGGACUGAGGUUCUGCUAAAAUUCCAAACGGAUCGGGAUGUCUGCCAGAUCCCAGCUACCACCGCUUAGAUCUUGACUGCGUGUGGAGUGCCCAACGACUCCUCCAUACCUAUAUCAGGAAAAUGGGAGACUUUUGCUUCACAGGGAAAAGAGCCACAGUUUGUGUUUAGGGUUCUGUGGCUGGGAUCUG
rnacentral:lncRNA from 12 species